UAAAAAAAAUUAAAUCAUAAAUUUUGAAACUUACUAUCUAUUCAUCGAAUGGUAUAAAAAUUAGCGUUACAUAAAAUAACAUUAUUUGAACUUUUUAUAUAUAGGCGCGAUGGCAUGUAAAAAUAAUAGAACUAAAUACAUACUAAUGCCCAGGAUCAUAAACAGAAUAAAAAUAACUCAUAGAGCAUCAUAUAAAAGAAAUUCUCGAUCAAUCCGCAGAAACGCGAAGUCCGGCUGCGAUAUAAAUUAAUGUCACUCACUGAACUAGGUUAUAUUUCUCUUUCUAUCUCAUACACCCUCCCAAAUGGUAUGAAACAUAGGGUGCGUUUGGUUCGCAUUAUGAAAGAUUAGUAGGAAUAAAAGAUAUCCGAGAAUCUUAUUCCUAUUCAUCCUAUUACUAAGAAUGUAGAAUUCCUGUGUUUGGUUCACACAGUAAUAUUAAUUAGCCAUGUUAUUUAAUAUUACAAAAAAUAUACUAUUUAUUUAUUUAUUUAUUUUUAGAUAAUGUUACCAAAAGUUUCAACAUCUUUUUAGAAAAAAAGGAGAGAGAGUAUAAGUUAGAGAGAGGGAGCAUAAUUAAAAAAAAGAAAGAAAAAUAUAGUCGAAAUUAGAGGGAGUGAGAGAGUUGAAAUUUUAGAAAGAGAGAGAGAGAGAGAAAGCUUAGUUUAGAGAGAGAAAAAAAGGUUGAAUUUUAGAGAGAAAAAUAAGUUUAGAGAGAGAUAUAAGGUUAGAGUGUAAAGAAAAAUAAUAUCAAUUAGCUAGCGGAUAGGAAGAAAGAAAGAAAUUAGACAUAUUAUGUUACCCCAAUCUAUUAAUAUGAGGAUACCCACCCUCCCUCAAGGGAAUAAGAUUAGUACUUUGGGGUAAAUCUUAUUCCCAAGUGAAUCCAAUAUUACCAACUAGAUUACUUAGUGCGUUUAGCCAAACACUGUCAUAUUUUUUUAUUCCCAUUAAAUUAUUAAAAAUCUUUAAAAGAUAGCGCGAACCAAACGCACCCAUAUAGUAAUUUUUUUACCAAAAUGCAUAUGAGAAGGUGACAAGAUCGGUACCUCUCUAUAUAAAAUUUUGAUAUAUUUCUCAUCAAAGUCUCAUUAGACUUCUAUUUAAUUUAAAUAGAUGAAAAAGAAAUAAAAUAUAUCAUAUCAAGCAGUUUUAUAUUUGAUAAGAUUGACUUUUAUUUAUAAUAAAUUUAGAUUUGAAUGUGAUUAAUUGGGUCAUAAUUUUUUGGCUUCGAAUUUAGAACAUGAUCACUAUUAAGCCCUCAACCAGCUGCACUAGUAGAAGUCAAUAUCAUAAUUUUUUUCUUUUUUUUUUAAGGAUACAAUGUAUGAAAUAUACUUAGACAUCUGGAGCACGUACCUAACUAUUUCUCUUCUCUCUGCGAACCAUGGAUGGACCAGUACGUACGUGUAGCCUGGUGAGAUGCAUGUUAAUGCUCGAUCGGUGGUCCAUCAACAAACACUCCCACGCUAGGAUUCAGGUACCAGCAGGGACACCCUAUGUCCAGUGCAUGUGAUUUGAUUAGACCACUCUGUUAAUUGUUUCUCAUAUGUAACGCAUUUGACAUAUAUCUCGAAGUGAUGUUAAUAUUCUCACUUUUUGAAUUUUAUUCACUUAAAUUUACUUUAAUUUAUCUGAAAAAAAUAAUCAGAUUCCACUAAUUAUAUUUAUUAUUAAGGUUUAGUUUGGUAUUGAAGUCCAUCUGACGCUAUUAAAUAAAAUAGAGUUGAUAUAAAAGUAUAUAGAGAUAUUCUUCUACGUUCUCUGGUGGAACCGCAAAAGAUAUAUCGUAACCGACUCAUCGCGAUAUACGGAAUGCAAUAUUAUAUACGAAAACAAACAUGAUAUUUUUCUAUCAUACUUUCUCACCGCACAUAACACAAUCUUCCCAUAAUCCCAAACGAAAUUUAAUACUAAAAUCAGCUCUAACUUUGGGAUGUAGAUAGAUUCAUAUUGAUAGAGCUCUCCCCACAAUCCGCUUUUAAUAUAGUAAUUAAGGCUUAGUUUAGUAUUAAGGCUAAUAUGAUGCUAUUAGAUAAAAUAAAAUUGGGAUAAAAGCAUAUAGGGAUAUGUUUCUGCGUUCUCCGAUGGAACCGUAAAAAAUAUAUUAUAACCGACUUAUCGCAAUAUGCAAAAUGCAACAUUACAUACGAAAACAAAUAAAAUUAUUUUUCAUUGUACUUUCUUUCCGCACGUAGCGUAAUCUCUCCGUAAUUCCAAAUGAAGCCUAAGUAGAGGACAAUAAACUUAUUGGGGUAGUAAAUGAGAGCAUUUUAUCACCGGAGAAGGACUUGGUGUGAUCCAAUGAAAAAUUGAUCUGCUUAGAAUCCGCUCCAAAUUCGGCUUUAAUAAAUAUCAAAACUAUAAGGUAACUUCUAUUUUUUCUUAUGCAUUAAUUAGUUAUGCUCUAAUUGUUAUUUCUUUCUAAAAUAAAUAUGAUUUAAAAAAAAAAGUUAUUUUUAUAAGUUUCUAAAAUUUAUAUAAACUAAAAUUAUAAAAAAAUAUAUUUCACUUAAAUUGGAAUAAAAAUGAAAAAUAAAAUGGUGAUUACGAUGCAGAUUUAGGGUGCUGACAUAAGGCGGAUUUUUUUUUUUUUUUUUUGAGAGAUAGGUAGCACGCUACCCGUUUCGUUUAUUUCAUUUAGAAAUAAACUUAGCUAGAAAUGUGAAUCAACUAAGAUUCGAACUUAGGUCUCGGAUACCAACCACCAAGCUCUUUGCCAUUUGCUCUACAGACGGAUUUUUAAGUAUGGCAGGUUAUAGGACAAAUAUUUUAUCCUUUCAUGAAGAGGGGAUGAGAGGCGGGACGAAUUCAGGGUUAUUUGGUUGCAUAUAGUUGUAACUGUAAUGUAAUUAUAAUUACAUGCAUAUGAGCAUAUCCAAAUCCAACGUUUGGUUUGAUGGAUUUAAAUUUAAAUGUCGUAUUUAAAACUGCCUGAGGAGGCCCCAGCUGUAGCAAUUAAAACUACGCCCAAAUUGACCGCAAUUUUAAGUGCAAAAAUUGGAGAAAAUAAUUUUAAAUGAAAGAUAAAGUUACCUUCUUAAUAACUUUUUAAACAGAAAAUAUUUCUUUUUUUUACGUUGGAGGUAACUUUACUAUCAUACAUAUAUAAACAGGUGCAAUUUUAAAAAUAUCCUUCUCAACCGUAUAUAACUAAAUAAAUUAUUUACAAUUAUAAUACUUUCUACUACAUUCAAGUAAAUAAGAUACAUGUAGUUGUUAGCUACUGUAUUUCUAAUCGCAUGCAUUUCCAACUACGCGGUUUCUAAUUUCCCUUUAUAAAUAAUUGGGCUUUGGGACCUAAGUGUAUAAAACACGGCAGCGCAUGAAUCUCAGCGCCGACUUUACGUAUCUGAAUGAGGGCCCCGCCGAAACGGCGCCGACUUCGUAGACCCACGCGGACCACGGGGUUCUAUCUUCACUCCUCGUAGAGGCUUCAUCAGACCUUCGGAUCGAGCACAUUUGGGGCAUUUUGAAUGCAUGCUGGGACCAAUCAGGUAAGGCCACGUCAGCUUAAGAAUAUCCAAUUCAACUCAUGAAUAUAAUAAUAUAUUUUCAUCUGUAGCUUUGGGAACAAGAACGUCUCCUGGGCACAUUUAUUUCGCUUUGGUCCUCUUUAUAUAUCAUCCGAAUAAGUUAUCACGUAAUAAUUUACGUGUUAAAAUAUAAUAUUGGGCUAAUUUUAUUAGUAUUGAUCCUUUCUUAAAGAUCUAACCAUUAGUUACAUAAAAAUUCAUCGGAAUAUCAAAUAUAUUCUUCUAAUUUAAAAAAUCUAUCAUAAAAUAUCUAUAUCGAUAAAAAUUGAUAGAAAAUUAAGGGCUCAUUUCAUUACUGGUUUGUAAUAUUCAGAUAAUCAUUUAUAUUCUCCACCCUUUCACACUUUCUCACUCUAGUAGCCUGUGGUUUAAAAUGUAUCAAUUUAGUGCCCUGUGGUUUCAUUUUUAUUUUUUUAUUAUCGAUUCCACUAAUUUUUUUUGUUAAAUCAGUGACAAAGUUAAAACUAAAAAGUACUAAAAUGAAUAUUCUAUAAACCUAGAUGGGGUACGUAUUUGAAGUUUUUUGUAUAUAAUUUAACAAAAUAUUAACGAAAAAGCUGACGAAAAGAUAAAAUGAAAUCAUAGGACACUAAUUUGAUACACUUUAAGCCACAUGGUAAUAAAGUGAGAAAGUGCAAAACCACAUUGGUGGUAUUUACAGUUUACCCUUGAAAACAUUCAAAUCAUUGCUAUUCAACUCAAGAUGUUUAGUUGUAAAAGGUGUUAGAGUUCACUUGGUUUAAUGUAAUUAGAUAUACAAUAUAGUUGAAAAUGCAUGCAAGUGGAAAUGGAACUGCAACAGUUGGGUAUCCUCGUGCAUGCAUUUCCAACUGUAGCAGUUGAAUUCAAACUCGUUGAACCAAAUGUUGGAUUUACAUUUGCAUGCAUGUAGUUAGAUUUACAGUACAGCAGUUACAACUGAAUACAACCAAACAACCCCUUAGUGAAGUAGUGGAAUCAUUGUAGAUUCCUAGAUAGUAAAAAAUGAGUAGAGCUACUAUGCUAUCGGAAGCAUAGAGGAUCUGGUGCUUUCGAUUUUUUGGCCCUUAGAUCAAUUUCUUUAAUUAUUUCUAACAUUUGGAUUAAUACUGUUAACCUGUGGGGACCACUCAACCCUAGGGGUACUACUCAACCAUGGGGGGAUCGUAAUCAUUUCAACCGUAUAAUUUUUGAUCCAAUGGUCAAAAAGUUGGAAGCAUCAAAUUCUCUAUGCUUCCGAUAGCUUAGUAGCUCUAUACGUAUAAAAUUCUAGAUUAUUAUUAGUUAGGAAAUUUUUCGGAGGCCUUAGUUGCUUCCAUCAUGUACGCUCAGUUCAUAUUACUUAAUGAAUGAAACAGGUAGCUUGCUACUUUUUUCUCAAAAAAAAAAAUCAUUAGUUAGGAAAUAUUUUCAUUUCCAUAUUUGAAAAAAAUCAUUAAUAAUUCAUUAAAAAGAAUAUAUUAUAAGUUAACAAUCUCCCAAUCCAAAUUGCUUAAUAAAUUAAUUAGUAAUAAACAAUUGUCUUUCUAAAUAUAAAAUAUGCAAUACUUUUGAAAUAUUACAAAUCUUGAGCCAAACUGCCCCUAAAUAUAUAUAAUUUUCACUUUGUCCAUCAUAUAUUAUCUAUACCUUGUUGACAAACCAAAUUAAAGAUCUUCUGUUAGAAAACAAUUUAAACACAAUUAAAUGCAUGCUAAAUUGAAAUUAAUUGAUUAAAACAAAUUAAACUACAUAAAUAGUAAACGAAAAGAAAUCACAGUAAUCUAGACAAAAUAAAAAAUAGAUUCCACGUACAGAAAAGUAUAAUUAAUAUAUCUUCAGUUUUAAUUAAUUUUUAUUUAAGAUCAACAUGAGACCCACAUGCUAUAUAUUGAGUUAAAAAAAUAAUAGACUUAAAUAGACAAAUAAUACAUUCAUAAACUAAAUUAAAAACUUUUCCCUGAGAAAUAAAAUUAUUAACUCCAAAUAAUACUACAUAAUUAUUUAUAACUAGUUAUAAGUUGGGGAAAAUUAGUCUAAAACUCUUAAUCAAUGUGUUGAAGGGCAUUCUUGAUAUAAUUCAUUAAUUUAUAGUGGUAGAAAUGAUAUUAAUAAUUUUAAAGAAAUAUUUAUGAUAUUUUAUAAGUUCUGAGGGGCACAUUUGAAAUUAUUUAUUUGUGAACUCACUCUUAUUAUGCGGAUAUUGCAUUUGUAACACAUAUUAUUUGCAGUUUAAUAUACGAGUUUUGUGCGGUAAUAUUAAGUCCAUGCCAUACGCUUGUAACGUCUAGUACGUGUAAAUUUAUUUAAUACAUGAGUUUUGUACUUUGAGAAUUUUCUUUUGUGAUCAUUACUAGAGAGAGAUUUGAUUUCAGCUCCUCGAAAGUUCUUGACAUUUAUAAUUUAGUAAGAUAUUAUAUUUUCUCGUGAGUUAAUUUGUUUUAUUCAAAAAAAAAUUAAGGACAAAACAUGGUGUGUUUUUCGAGAUAUUUGAUAGUUUAUUCUAGACUCUAAACGCGGCCUAUGAAUAAACACUAACAAAUAAAAAUGAAGGUUCUAUGGUUGUUGGUCAUCAUUUUUUAUAUAAAUACCUAUUUUUUCAUAUUUUCUUUCUGAUUUUUAAAAAUCUAUAUUUUAUCCUCUCAAUAUUUCAAGUUGUUGCAUUUAAUUCCCUCCAUCAGAGCUUCAUCACUAUUUUGUCUAUUUCUUAUAAUUUAUACCAAAAAUUUUCAUCAAAAUAGCAAAUAUAUAUAUAUAUAUAUAUAUAUAGAGAGAGAGAGAGAGAGAGAGAGAGAGAGAGAGAGAGAGAGAGAGAGAGAGCUAGGCUGGUAUACUAUCGGUAGCACGGAGGCCUCUGUGCUAUCAAGUUGUUUUCAAUAAUGCGGCUUCCAAAUCGAUGAUCGGUUCCAUUAGACUUGAUCUACACUAUUAAAAGUAUUUGGAAACUAAAUUUCAUAAUUUUUCAACAUCAUUUUGCUAGUGAUUAAAAGGUCUCAAAAUUGACAAUUUUAAUAGUAGAUGUGAUGUAUUUGUGAAUUUAACGGUGUAAAACAAUCCAAAUUUGAUGAAAUUUUUAUAGAAAUUUUUUUUUACUAUUUAGAGUAAGAUCAGUACCUCUGAUCUUAAAUUUAAAUCUUUUAUCAUUAUUUUUUCUGAGAUUUUAUUUUCAGCCUUCAUUUUAGACUGCUCGUUUGAUAGGUAGAAAUAAUACUGAAAAAUUAUAGAAAUUUAGUUUCCAAAUACUUUCAAUAUGUAGAUCAAGUCUAACGAGCGAUCGUCGAUUCGGAAGUGGCAUAUUGAAAACAACUUGUAGCAGCGAGGCCUUCGUGCUACCGAUAGCAUACCAGCUAACUAUAUAUAUAUAUAUAUAUAUAUAUAUAUAUAUAUAUAUAUAUAUAUAUAUAUAUAUAUAUAUAUAUAUAUUAUAUGGUUAUUUGUAUAUCACGUCCACUGCAAACAAAGUGAAUUGCGGAAAUAUCUCUGCCCAAAGGGAAACUCCAUAAGUUGUCCCUGCAAAAGUCCUAAUUUAUGCAGAUAUGUCCCUCUGGUUAACAUCCGUUAGAGAACUGUUUAUUUUUUAACAGUUUUCUUGUGAAAUGACCAUUUUGCCCUCACAAAUAUAUCCCUCCAAAAUACCGUUCUUCCCCUUCUUUUUCUCUUCCUCUUUGGGCCGUAGGAGCGGACGACAGCGGCGGCGCGGGGUCGGGUUCGCCGACGACGAAGAAGAGGGAAGAGAAAGAAUGGAGGAAGAAGAAAAUGGAAGAGGAAGAGGGAGAAGGAGAGGGAAGAGAAAGAUGAAGAGGGAAAGGGUUCGCCGCCGCGCGCCGCCGCUGCAUCUCCUCCCUCGCCGGCGACAAAGAAGAGGGAAGAGAUAGAGGAAGAGGAAGAAGAAGGGUGAAGAGGAAGAGGGAGAAGAAGAGGAAAAAGGAGGGCUCCCGGCCGUCGCCGCAUCUUCUCCAUCGCCUGCGACGAAGAAGAGGGAAAAGGAAGAGGGAGAGGAAGAAAAAAGGCGAAGAAGAGGGAAGAAGAAGAAGAGGAAGAAGAAGAAGGGUAGAACCGUAAAUUCAUGUUAUAAUUAACAUGGUUAAGUAUUUUAACCGUGGUUAACGAAAAUUUUCUAACAGUCUUUAACGGCAGAGACAUAUCUGCAUAACUUAAGACUUUUGCAGGGACAACUUAUGGAGUUUCCGUUUUGCAGGGAUAUUUCUGCAAUUCACUAUAUUUGCAGAGACGUGUAUGCAAAUAACCCAUAUAUAUAUAUAUAUAUAUAUUUGUUGAAGAAGUAAAGUUAAUUUGGCCAUUUUGCUCUCCUCAUUAAUGACGUCCCCCCUUUAAUUAUUUUUAAAAUUUUUAAAAAAUAAAAUAAAAUUUUUUGAAAGUUAGAGAGAAAAAUAAAAAAAAUAGAUGUUUACGAGAGAAACUAUUCAAAUACUUAUUUAGCAUAGAUGGCCACGGUUUUUGGAUGGAAACCUUAAGGGUGCGUUUGGUUCGUAUUAUGAAAGAUUAGUAGGAAUAAAAGAUAUCCGAGAAUCUUAUUCCUAUUCAUCCUAUUACUAAGAAUGUGGAAUUUCUGUGUUUGGUUCACACAGUAAUAUUAAUUAGUCAUGUUAUUUAAUAUUACAAAAAAUAUACUAUUUAUUUAUUUAUUUAAUUUUAGAUAAUGUUACCAAAAGUUUCAACAUCUUUUUAGAAAAAAAUGAGAGAGAGUAUAAAUUAGAGAGAGAGAGCAUAAUUAAAAAAAAGAAAGAAAAAUAUAGUCGAAAUUAGAGGGAGUGAGAGAGUUGAAAUUUUAGAAAGAGAGAGAGAGAGAGAGAGCUUAGUUUAGAGAGAGAAAAAAAAUUGAAUUUUAGAGAGAAAAAUAAGUUUAGAGAGAGAUAUAAGGUUAGAGUGUAAAAAAAAAUAAUAUCAAUUAGCCGGCGGAUAGGAAGAAAGAAAGAGAUUAGACAUAUUAUGAUUACCCCAAUCCAUUAAUAUGAGGAUACCCACCCUCCCUCAAGGGAAUGAGAUUAGUACUUUGGGGUAAAUCUUAUUCCCAAGUGAAUCCAAUAUUACCAACUAGAUUACUUAGUGCGUUUAGCCAAAUACCGUCACAUUUUUUUAUUCUCAUUGAAUUACUAGAAAUCUUUAAAAGAUAGCGCAUGCACUCUUCUAAGUAUUUUUAAGAACACAUGCAAAUGUCAACUUCCUUUUCCUUUUUUUUUUUUUUUUUUU
rnacentral:lncRNA from 1 species